rnacentral:rRNA from 1 species
GUGGGGAAUAUUGGACAAUGGGGGGAACCCUGAUCCAGCCAUGCCGCGUGUGUGAAGAAGGCCUUUUGGUUGUAAAGCACUUUAAGCGAGGAGGAGGCUACCGAGAUUAAUACUCUUGGAUAGUGGACGUUACUCGCAGAAUAAGCACCGGCUAACUCUGUGCCAGCAGCCGCGGUAAUACAGAGGGUGCAAGCGUUAAUCGGAUUUACUGGGCGUAAAGCGCGCGUAGGUGGCCAAUUAAGUCAAAUGUGAAAUCCCCGAGCUUAACUUGGGAAUUGCAGUCGAUACUGGUUGGCUAGAGUAUGGGAGAGGAUGGUAGAAUUCCAGGUGUAGCGGUGAAAUGCGUAGAGAUCUGGAGGAAUACCGAUGGCGAAGGCAGCCAUCUGGCCUAAUACUGACACUGAGGUGCGAAAGCAUGGGGAGCAAACAGGAUUAGAUACCCUGGUAGUCC